rnacentral:rRNA from 1 species
GACGAACGCUGGCGGCGUGCUUAACACAUGCAAGUCGAACGGUGAAGGGAUCAGCUUGCUGGUUCUGGAUGAGUGGCGAACGGGUGAGUAACACGUGAGUAACCUGCCCCCUUCUUCUGGAUAACCGCAUGAAAGUGUGGCUAAUACGGGAUAUUCUGGGUCUGUCGCAUGAUGGGUCUGGGAAAGAUAUUGUUUCGGUGGGGGAUGGGCUCGCGGCCUAUCAGCUUGUUGGUGGGGUGAUGGCCUACCAAGGCGGUGACGGGUAGCCGGCCUGAGAGGGUGGACGGUCACACGGGGACUGAGACACGGCCCAGACUCCUACGGGAGGCAGCAGUGGGGAAUAUUGCACAAUGGGCGCAAGCCGGAUGCAGCGACGCCGCGUGAGGGAUGGAGGCCUUCGGGUUGUAAACCUCUUUCGCCAGUGAAGCAGGCCUGCUCCUUGUGGGUGGGUUGACGGUAGCUGGAUAAGAAGCGCCGGCUAACUACGUG